rnacentral:rRNA from 1 species
AUGAACGCUAGCGGCAGGCCUAACACAUGCAAGUCGAGGGAUAAGCCUUCGGGCUAAGACCGGCGCACGGGUGCGUAACGCGUAUACAAUCUGCCUUUUAUCCGGGGGAUAGCCCGAAGAAAUUUGGAUUAAUACCCUAUGGUAUAAGAGCACGGCAUCGUGCACUUAUUAAAGCUACGGCGGUAAAAGAUGAGUAUGCGUUCUAUUAGCUAGUUGGAGAGGUAACGGCUCCCCAAGGCGACGAUAGAUAGGGGUUCUGAGAGGGAUGUCCCCCACACUGGUACUGAGAUACGGACCAGACUCCUACGGGAGGCAGCAGUGAGGAAUAUUGGACAAUGGUCGGAAGACUGAUCCAGCCAUGCCGCGUGCAGGAUGACGGCCUUAUGGGUUGUAAACUGCUUUUGUAAGGGAAGAAUAACGAGUACGUGUACUUUGAUGACGGUACCUUACGAAUAAGCAUCGGCUAACUCCGU